CUCUGCUGGGAUGGGUUCAAAGUAGAGAAAGUGGAAAAGGGAAGAGUUGCUUGGGAGAGGGAGGGAACGGGCCGCAGAGUCGCCGAUCCGGGGGAGGAAUGAUCAAGAGUCCCCUGGACCAUGCAGCAGGAGGUGAGCAGCAGGUUGCACGCUCCUUAUAAGAGUCCAAUGCCUGAUGAUCUGAGGUGGAGCUGAGGCAGUGAUGCAAGCACUGGGGAGAGGCUGCAAGUGUUGCAUUAAGAGGUGGUCUCCAGCUCCGUCUGCACAGGGAAUCCAUCUGGGGAAAACUACCUCAUCACGUCUACAGCUCUUGAAACAAUGCCUGAAAAAUUACUUGAUUAUUUUAUUGCAGCUUAUCCUCAUCUUAUAAAGCUGUGUUGAUGAAGAAAAAUGAAAGUGCCCAUAGUAGUGUUAAAAAGCUUGUAUACAGCAAGCAAGCACAAAGAUAACUCACAGAACAGGGGAAAGUGUAAACCAUUGAGCUCAUAUGGGACUGGUCUUCAGAAUAUAUAAAGAGCUCUUACUACCUCAAUUAUCAAAGAAAAGAACCUAAUUAAAAAGUAGGCAAAUGGGGAC